rnacentral:rRNA from 1 species
UGGGGAAUUUUGGACAAUGGGCGCAAGCCUGAUCCAGCCAUGCCGCGUGCGGGAAGAAGGCCUUCGGGUUGUAAACCGCUUUUGUCAGGGAAGAAAUCUUCUGAGUUAAUACCUCGGGAGGAUGACGGUACCUGAAGAAUAAGCACCGGCUAACUACGUGCCAGCAGCCGCGGUAAUACGUAGGGUGCAAGCGUUAAUCGGAAUUACUGGGCGUAAAGCGUGCGCAGGCGGUUUUGUAAGACAGAGGUGAAAUCCCCGGGCUCAACCUGGGAACUGCCUUUGUGACUGCAAGGCUUGAGUGCGGCAGAGGGGGAUGGAAUUCCGCGUGUAGCAGUGAAAUGCGUAGAUAUGCGGAGGAACACCGAUGGCGAAGGCAAUCCCCUGGGCCUGCACUGACGCUCAUGCACGAAAGCGUGGGGAGCAAACAGGAUUAGAUACCCUGGUAGUCCACGCCCUAAACGAUGUCAACUGGUUGUUGGGAAGGUUCCUUCUCAGUAACGUAGCUAACGCGUGAAGUUGACCGCCUGGGGAGUACGGCCGCAAGGUUGAAACUCCAAAUGAAUUGACGGGGUCAUAGC